UUUUUUUUCAGAGAGAUGGCGCAUCGGUCAUGAAGAUAGGGAAUAAUCGGGCCGCGAAGUUAUUUUUCAAGGCGAGGCUUUGUGCGUCGCCCGGCCACGGACAGGUUUUUCCGCAGGCCGUGUGAGCUCCAUUGUUUCGAUCAUGGUCGUCUACAUAAAAAGGGGCAACUUCGAUUUCAACUUUAGCAGGUAGCAUGGAGCAGUUCAGUUAGAAUCUUAGUUGGCGAUUUAUCUGAUAUCAGAACAUAGGAUGUCUUGAUGCCAACCAAGUGUCAUUGGAAAGAAUGCAAAAAGAUGUUAAAGG